UGCAAUAUGCAGAAACCAAAAGGCUGGCCUAACUUGUACUUAUAAAAAAGAUUGCCUUCCAAUUCCUCUACCUCUCAUCUUCUCAAUAAAAAGUUGCACCUAGGUUUCAAACUUUUAGUGCACUUAUCGACUUUAUUUCUAUACAAAUUGAUCAUUUCCAUGGCUUCUUUCCAACUUGAUGACCAGGUUCUGGUACAAGAGACUUUAUUCGUGAGGACAUUGAUCCUGAAUAGGCCUCGACACUGUCCCAAUUGUUUGAUCAUUUUGGAGAGUUUGUUUGUUUAUUUAUUUUUAAUUCAGUAAAGUUGUGUUCUAUAGAAACAGAUUGUUGAGUACACUGGGAGAAGGGAUUGUGUGGCUUUUAAUUUGUAUGUUUUUUCUGAAGUUGAGUUUCUACGUGCAAGAUUGUUAAGGUUGAGUAUUAAUUUGAAACGACCCCUAAAAAUGGAGUAUUAGAGAGAACUUUAUAGUUUGGGAUUUUUUCCUAAUGUGGGUGCUUCCUAUUUCUUGUCAAGACUUCCUGAAUUUUUUGGAGAGUAUUUGGGUCUCACAGGUGCCAGGUUGGAUGGUGCUAAAAUGCUUGCUUGUGGUUUAGCUACUCACUUUGUUCCCUCAGCCAAAUUGCCUCUACUGGAAAAAGCUCUGAUUUCCAGAGCAACUUCAGCUACUUCCUGAAGCUGUGAUCUUGCUUUUAUUUCAGCAAUUAUAGACGAACACUCCCUACAUCAACCGGCUCUGAACUAGAAAAGUGCUCUUCACAAAAUGGAUGUCAUUGACAAGUGCUUUUCAUUAAAAAUGGAAAGAUAGGAGUAGGUUGUUCAUAAAAAAUAAUAAUAAUAAAAUAAAUAUAAAUAAAAAGAAGUUCGCAGUGGGCUAAAAGACGGAAAUACUUUUCAUUUUAGAGAGAACUUUACAGAGAUGUCCUACGUAAGAAUGUCCAGGAGAAUUCAUCAAUUCAUUAGUUUGUCUUAUCUUCUUUUUCUUAAGGGUAUUGUUAAAUGAGCGAUGACAUAAUUAUCAUUAAUUGGCCUGAGUGGGCCAAUUAAAUUUUUGAAUAAUAAAAUAACAAUUCACAUAGGCUAUAGUCCAUGUUAGUCCCUUGUUGGGACCAUCCCUGCCUAUAUGUGGAGGAGGAUUAGUCCAAUCCUAAGUUCGGCUCUUCAUUAGUGGUCCAUUGCUUUUGUACGAAAAACACAAACAAAUGAACGUUUGACAUAUGUGUAAAACAUCUCAAUCUUAAGUUUAUAUCUUCAUUAGUCUCCCGUGGUCCAUUGUAAACCUUUUCCGUUCGUAUAAAAAAAAAGUAAACAAAUUUCAAUUUGAUGUGUAUGUAGAACAUCUCAAUCUCAAGUUCAGCUCUUCAUUGGUCUCCCUGGUUCAUUCUAAGCCUUUUCUUUUUGUAAGAACGAAGAAAACAAAUAGUUCUUUCCUCCGAUGACCAAACCCCGUUUAAAUUGUGCUUUAACCACGUUCUGCUAUUUCUUUCUUUUCUUCAAUUUACGGACAGAACACAAAGAAAGGCAAGUGUGUGAACAUUUUUUUUCUGCCAAAUCAAUUUAUGCAUUGAUGCUGGCUGGCCCAGCCUAGUAGUUGUUCCUCCCCCGACUCACACCCCAUGUGACAUGGGCUCAUACAAAGCAAAGUUGAUUACAACUUGUUAUAUUAACAACCAGGUUUUUGUUUCCAUUUUCAAUCAUUCAAUAUCUGUACUGUCAAUUAAUUUUGGUCAUCGAAUUCUCAAAUUCCAUCAUCAUAUUUGCACUAUUUUAGUUGUCAAUAUUUUUUAAAAAUAAUAAGACAAAAUAAACGGUACAAAUAGUUUUAUGUUAUUUAUGUUGUAAGUUGAAAUAGUAUGAAUAGUUUUAUUUGUUUUGGAGGAAUCCGAAAAUAUAUUGUGUCGGUUUUUUUUUGGUUCGAAAAAGUUAAAAAAUAAAAGACAUAGACAUGCAAUAUGCGGAAACCAAAUGGCUGGCCUACCUCAUACUUAUAAAUAAGAUUGCCUUCCAAUUCCUCCACCUCUCAUCUUCUCAAUAAAAAGUUGCACCUAGGUUUCGAACUUUUAGUGCACUUAUCGAUUUAAUUUCUAUACAAAUUGAUCAUUUCCAUGACUUCUGUCCAAGUUGAUGACCAGGUUCUGGUACAAGAGACUUUGUUCGUGAGGACAUUGACUCUGAAUAGGCCUCGCCAGCUGAACACCCUUUCCCUUGAAAUGAUCUCUCGUCUGUCAGAACUUUUCCAGGCCUAUGUGGACGACAACAAUGCCAAGUUGAUCAUUCUCAAGGGUAGAGGAAGAGCAUUUUGUGCUGGCGGCGAUCUAGUCGCCAUGCAUCGUCACUUUCUUGAAGGAAAUCUGAAAUAUGGUGAAAAUUUUGCUCAGAAGAUCCUCAACUUAACCUAUUUGAUAGCAACACACAGUAAACCCCAGGCAAGUAUGCAAUUAAUUUCCAUAAUGUCUUCAAAAUCUAGGUUUAAUAUGUUUUGGAUGCUAAGUGCUAAUACUUGUAUCAUCUCAACUGGUCAAUUAGUAUACCACAUGACAUAUAUCACAUCUUCCCCGAGAUGGUACAAAUAGUUCUAUCGUACUUUCUUUUGCAGACUUGAAGUUUUCCUAGAAUUCUUUCAAUACCAUCUUUUGUUAUUUAUACAUAUAUUUUGUAAAAUAGGUUUCAAUUAUGAAUGGGAUUGCAAUGGGAGCUGGGGUUUGUAUUUCAGUACACGGAAAAUUCCGUGUAGCAACAGAGAAUUCCAUCUUUGCAAUGCCAGAAAAUGCUCUGGGAUUGUUUCCUGAUGUCGGUCAUUUCUUGUCAAGACUUCCUGGAUUUUUUGGAGAGUAUUUGGGUCUUACAGGUACAAUGUUGGAUGGUGCUGAAAUGCUGGCUUGUGGUCUGGCAACUCACUUUGUUCCCUCAGCCAAAUUGUCUCUGUUGGAAAAAGCACUAAUUUCCAGAGCAGCUUCAGCUACAUCAAGCUGUGAUCUUGCUUUUAUUUCAGCAAUUAUAGACGAAUACUCCUUGCAGCAACCGGUUCUGAACGAGAAAAGUGCUUUACGCAAAAUGGAUGUCAUUGACAAGUGCUUUUCCAGACCAACAGUUGAAGAUAUCUUAAGUGCCCUUGAGAAGGAGGUUACUACAACAGAUGCAAAUAGGGCAGGUGAUGAAUGGCUAGCUUCAACGAUUCGAUCGCUGAAGAAGGCGUCGCCGAUGAGCUUGAAGAUUUGUUUGAGAUCCAUUAGAGAAGGAAGGGUGCAGGCAAUGGAUGAAUGUCUUGUCCGCGAGUACAGAAUAGCUUGCCAUGUUAUGAGAGGGCAAAUAAGCAAGGACUUCAGAGAAGGUUGCAGAGCUAUCUUGUGGGACAAGGACAAGAAACCAAAGUGGAAGCCUUCGAGUUUGGAUCUCAUCACUGAGCAUAUGGUUGACCACUGCUUCUCAAGGUUGGAUGGUGAUGAAGAAUUAAAGCUCCCUCAAAGAUGCAACUUGAAAGUAUUUGCCAAUGCCAAGCUUUGAGCUAAUUGUGAUUUUGGGGUGUUUCUCUAAACCUAUACCUAUCAAUAUUUCAAUUCCCUCCCUCAUACUAUUCAGAAUUUUCAUUAGUGUACACACCCCACCAUUUUCUCACCCCACCCCACCCCACACCAUACCACCCCAACUCUCUCAUUGGAAUAUGUAUGUACAACCAACUAUACAUAUAUAAUCUGUUAUAUACAUAUCUUGUGUUUUUUUUUGUUGUCAAAAUACAUAUCUUGUUUGUUAGUUCGGCUUAUAUAUAGGUACAUAUACAAUUGUAUAUGUUUAUUUCAUUCCGUUACAUAACAUGGCUAUGUUAGGGGUCUAUGUUGAAGAGUGUGUUGAGAGGUUCAAUUUUGUCGUUCAAUAAUAACUCUAUAUAAUUAAGGAUCCCCUCGUUAUAACCCUUCACUUUGUUGCAAUAUUGCUUAAAAAAUUUAAGCCUCUUCACAUAUUGCCAAUUGGUUGUUGCUUGGGGAAUCUGCCCAAUAUUUUUUUAAAAAAAUUUUAGGUGUCCAAAGACAUAUAUUCGAAGACUCGAGAAGAAACACAUAUUGGAGCUUGUAUUGUUUCGGCCCAACGAAAUAUGGGCUCUGAAAAUGAAAAGCUAGGUAGGGUUGAACUUCAGAAGAAAACUGAUUGGUCCAAAAUUUUAGGCUUUGGGUUUGGGUGACCGAAGCAGAUUUUGGCCGCACCAGUUUCUCAAGUAAACGAUUAAAAUAAAAACAAAACAAAACGAUGUUUCUUCCCAACCGCCGGAGCUUAGAGACAAGCUCACAAUGUCUACUUUUGAGCCUUCUGAUAGUGUCAAUGUGUCAUGGCAAUGCUCAUCGAUUGUGAAGAAGAACAAGAAGAACAACAGCAAACCAAUGGUCGAACUCCAAUGCCUAAGUGAAGGAAGUUGAGGUUCCACUCCGAAACCAAUUGGUAAUAGAGGGAGUAAUCCGACUUCUUAUAAGCUGUUGCUAGGUUUCUUAACUUUCAAAUAUGAGACUUUUUAUCUUCACCUUCUCACACGCCCCCGCAUGUGUGGCGAAUUUUCAAGCCUAACACGUGGACAACACAUUUUGGGUGAUGUGGAGCACGUGUUGUAAUGACCCAAACCUAAAAUUCAUAUUUAAUUAGUAAUUUAUUAUGCGAAAAGACAAUUUUGCCCUUUGACUAAAUUAUGAACUCAAAGUUGACUUUUUGACCGAAAAGGAAUUUGACAAUUCCACAUACGCCGUUGCGUAGAGCACGAUGACACGAAGUGGACUCGAAUCGGAAUUUUAACGAAGAAAAUACGAUUAAAAUAUCACGAGGGGCAAAAUAGUAAAUUGGAUUGUGCCGACAUUUGUCAGGUGUCGGAUACGCACAGGGUCUGACUCGGAUUCCAAAGCGGAAUUUGGAUCGGGUUCUGUCACGUGUGGCCGUUGAGCUUUCACACGUGGGCAACCUCUUUGAUAACAUGAAGGAAGUUGAGAUUCUACCCCAAAACCAAUUGGCUAUUGGGGGAGUAACUCAACUCCUUAUAAGCCCUUACUAGGUUUCUCAACUUUCCAGCGUGGGACUUUUUACCUUCACAUUCUCACACUAAGCGCCUAGAAAUCUUGCCUUCUCAAUCUUUGAAUAAGAGGGACGAAAGAGAAGCGGGUACAAGAAAGAGGGUUUUCAGCGUGAGCAAUUUCAAAGGGGUUAUUUUUCCCUAUUUGUACGGAGUUAUGGUCGUCCCAAGGCGAUCAUCAAGUUAGGUAGCAUCUUGGGGUUUUUGCAGAAAAUUUGUUGGUUUUUGUUUUUACGUUUGUUGAAGUUCCCUUUUUGGUUGUUGUUCUUAUAAUAAUGCACUGUCCCAAUUGUUUGAUCAUUUUGGAGAGUUUGUUUAUUUAUUUUUAAUUCAGUAAAGUUGCGUUCUAUAGAAACAGAUUGUUGAUUACAUUGGGAGAAGGGAUUGUGUGGCUUUUAAUAUCUAUGUUUUUCCUAAAGUUGGGUUUCUACGUGCAAGAUUGUUAAGGUUGAGUAUUAAUUUAAAACGACCCCUAAGAAUUGAGUAUUAGAGAGAACUUUACAGAGAUGUCCUACAUAAGAAUGUCCAGGAAUAGUCAAAGAGAAUUCAUCAAUUUAUUAGUUUAUCUUAUCUUCUUUUCUUUAAGUGUAUUAUUAGAUGAGCGAUGACGUAAUUAUCAUUAGUAGGCUUGAAAGGGCUAAAUUAAAUUUUUGAAUAAUAAAAUAACAACUCACCUAGGUUAUAGCCCCAAUUAGUCCCUUCUUGGGACCGUCCUUGCCUAAAUGUGGAGGAGGAUUAGUCCAAUCCCAAGUUCGGCUCUUCAUUAGUGGUCCAUUGUAAGUCUUUUUCUUUCGUAUGAAAAAAGCAAACAAAUUACAGUUUGACGUGUGUGUAGAACAUUUCAAUCUUAAGUUAAGCUCUUCAUUAGUCUCCCCUGGUCCAUUGUAAACCUUUUUCCUUCGUACGAAAAAAAACAAACAAAUUACAGUUUGAUGUGUAUGUAGAAUAUCUCAAUCUUAAGUUAAGCUGUUCAUUAGUCUCCCAUACUCCAUUGUAAGAAAAAAAAAACAAAUAGUUCUGUCUUCUGAUGACCAAACCCCGUUUAAAUUGUCCUUCAAGUUUAAAGCACAAUUUAACCACGUUCUGCUAUUUUUUUCUUUUCUUCCCGUCUGUUCUCUGCCUAUGCUGCUUAUUUACGAACGGAACACAAAGGCAGGCAAGUGUGUGAACAAUUUUUUUUCUGCCAAGUGUCAAUUUAUGCAUUGAUGCUGGCCCAGCCUAGUAGUAGUUCCUCCCCAACCCACACCACAUCUACUGUCAAUUAAUUUUGGGCCGAAUUCUUAAAUUCUGUCACACAAAAAAAAAGCAAGUUGUACAAGUUUACAUUUUCAAUCAUUCAACAAUAUCUGUACUGUCAAUUAAUUUUGGGCCGAAUUCUCAAAUUCUGUCAUAAUAUUUGCAUCAUUUUAAUUGUCAAUGUUUAAAAAAAAAUCAUGCCAAAAUGAAACGGUAAAAUAUUUUUCUGUUGUUUCUAUUGUAAGUUGAAAUGGUAUAAAUAGGUUUCAAACUUUCGUUGCACUUAUCGAUUUAAUUUCUAUACAUCAAUUAAUCAUUUUCCAUGGCUUCUUUCCAACUUGAUGACCAGGUUCUGAUACAGGAGACUUUGUUUGUGAGGAUAUUGACCCUAAACAGGCCUCGCCAGCUGAACGCCCUUUCCCUUGAAAUGCUCUCUCGGCUGUCACAACUUUUCUUGGCCUAUGAGGACGAUGCCAAUGCCAAGUUGAUCAUUCUCAAGGGUAAAGGAAGAGCAUUUUGUGCUGGCGGUGAUGUAGCCACCGUUCAUAUCGUCGUUUUCUUGAAGGAAAUCUGAAAUUUGGUGAAAAACUUGGUGAGAAGCUGCUCACCUUAACCUACUUGGUAGCAACAUGCAGCAAACCCCAGGCAAGUCUGAAAUUAAUUUCCAUAAUGUCUUCAAAAUCUAGGUUUAAUAUUUUUUUUGGGAUACUUUUGCUGAUAUUUGUAUCAUCUCAACUGGUGAAUUAGUGUACUGUAUGGCAUACGUCACAUCUGCCCAAUCGAGAUUUCGUAUAAUUAGUUUUAUCGUACUUUCUUUUGUUAGGCUCGAAGUUUUCGUACAAUUUCUUUCACUACCAUCUUUUGUUAUUUAUAUUUAUAUUUUUUUGAAACAGGUUUCAAUUCUGAAUGGGAUUGUCAUGGGAGGUGGGGUUGGUAUUUCAGUAAAUGGCAAAUUCCGUGUAGCAACAGAGAAUUCGAACUUUGCAAUGCCAGAAAAUUCUCUGGGAUUGUUUCCUGACGUGGGCUCCUCUUAUUUCUUGUCAAGACUUCCCGGAUUUUUUGGAGAGUAUUUGGGUCUCACAGGUGCAAGGUUGGAUGGUGCUGAAAUGCUUGCUUGUGGUCUGGCAACUCACCUUGUCCCCUCAGCCAAAUUGUCCCUUUUGGAAAAAGCUCUAAUUUCCAGAGCAGCUUCAGCUACUUCAUCAAGCUGUGGUCUUGCUUUUAUUUCAGCAAUUAUAGACGAAUACUCCUUGCAGCAACCAGCUCUGAACGAGAAAAGUGCUUUACACAAAAUGGAUGUCAUUGACAAGUGCUUUUCCAGACCAACAGUUGAAGAUAUCUUAAGUGCCCUUGAGAAGGAGAUUACUACAACAGAUGCAAACAAGGCAGGUGAUGAAUGGCUAGCUUCAACAGUUCGAUCGCUGAACAAGGCGUCGCCGAUGAGCUUGAAGAUUUGUUUGCGAUCCAUUAGAGAAGGAAGGGUGCAGGCAAUUGCCGAAUGCCUUAUCCGCGAGUACAGAAUAGAUUGUCCUGUUAUGAGAGGGCAAAUAAGCAAGGACUUCAGAGAAGGUUGCAGAGCUAUCUUGUGGGACAAGGACAAGAAACCAAAGUGGAAGCCUUCUAGUUUGGAGCUCAUCACUGAGCAUAUGGUUGACCACUACUUCUCUAGGUUGGAUGGUGAUGAAGAAUUAAAG
rnacentral:lncRNA from 1 species